GUGCUCACUUCAGCAGCACAUAUACUAACAUUGGAACAACACAGAGAUCAGCAUGGUCCCUGCGUAAGGAUGACAUACAAAUUCGUGAAGCAUUCCAUAUUUUU
ensembl:snRNA U6 U6 spliceosomal RNA